CAGACUCCUACGGGAGGCAGCAGUAGGGAAUCUUCCGCAAUGGACGAAAGUCUGACGGAGCAACGCCGCGUGAGUGAUGAAGGCUUUCGGGUCGUAAAACUCUGUUGUUAGGGAAGAACAAGUGCUAGUUGAAUAAGCUGGCACCUUGACGGUACCUAACCAGAAAGCCACGGCUAACUACGUGCCAGCAGCCGCGGUAAUACGUAGGUGGCAAGCGUUAUCCGGAAUUAUUGGGCGUAAAGCGCGCGCAGGUGGUUUCUUAAGUCUGAUGUGAAAGCCCACGGCUCAACCGUGGAGGGUCAUUGGAAACUGGGAGACUUGAGUGCAGAAGAGGAAAGUGGAAUUCCAUGUGUAGCGGUGAAAUGCGUAGAGAUAUGGAGGAACACCAGUGGCGAAGGCGACUUUCUGGUCUGUAACUGACACUGAGGCGCGAAAGCGUGGGGAGCAAACAGGAUUAGAUACCCUGGUAGUCCACGCCGUAAACGAUGAGUGCUAAGUGUUAGAGGGUUUCCGCCCUUUAGUGCUGAAGUUAACGCAUUAAGCACUCCGCCUGGGGAGUA
rnacentral:rRNA from 1 species